rnacentral:lncRNA from 1 species
AUGAUACUUCCAUUGCUAGCUGGCUGUUUUCAUUUCCUCCCUAACCUUCCAGAUUUUUGGCAUGAAAUACAGCCCAACUUCAGCUCGAGAGAGCCAGCUUCCAAGUGUGCUUGCAGCCAGCUAUCUUCCUACGUCACUGAUCAUGUGCAGUUACAGAGCUGUGUACAACCAUACCCUGUGCAGCUGUUUUGUCUUCAGUGCAAAGAAUCUCAACAUGUACACAAAGAAGGCAUCUCAAAAGUUACUACAGUAAACAUCUCGAAAGGAUUCUUUUUGCAGGGUGAAGUGGUAAGGCUAAUGAAAAUAUCUACAAACAUAUAUGCACAUUUUUAA